rnacentral:rRNA from 1 species
GAGUUUGAUCGUGGCUCAGAUUGAACGCUGGCGGCAUGCCUUACACAUGCAAGUCGAACGGCAGCAUGAUCUAGCUUGCUAGAUUGAUGGCGAGUGGCGAACGGGUGAGUAAUACAUCGGAACGUGCCCCGUAGUGGGGGAUAACUAGUCGAAAGAUUAGCUAAUACCGCAUACGACCUGAGGGUGAAAGUGGGGGACCGCAAGGCCUCAUGCUAUAGGAGCGGCCGAUGUCUGAUUAGCUAGUUGGUGGGGUAAAGGCCCACCAAGGCGACGAUCAGUAGCUGGUCUGAGAGGACGAUCAGCCACACUGGGACUGAGACACGGCCCAGACUCCUACGGGAGGCAGCAGUGGGGAAUUUUGGACAAUGGGCGAAAGCCUGAUCCAGCAAUGCCGCGUGUGUGAGAAGGCCUCGGUUGUAAG